GACGAACGCUGGCGGCGUGCUUAACACAUGCAAGUCGUACGGUAAGGCCCUUUCGGGGGUACACGAGUGGCGAACGGGUGAGUAACACGUGAGUAACCUGCCCACAACUUUGGGAUAACGCUAGGAAACUGGUGCUAAUACUGGAUAUGUGCUCCUGCUGCAUGGUGGGGGUUGGAAAGCUCCGGCGGUUGUGGAUGGACUCGCGGCCUAUCAGCUUGUUGGUGGGGUAGUGGCCUACCAAGGCGGCGACGGGUAGCCGGCCUGAGAGGGUGACCGGCCACAUUGGGACUGAGAUACGGCCCAGACUCCUACGGGAGGCAGCAGUGGGGAAUAUUGCACAAUGGGCGCAAGCCUGAUGCAGCAACGCCGCGUGCGGGAUGACGGCCUUCGGGUUGUAAACCGCUCUCAGCAGGGACGAAGCUUUUUGUGACGGUACCUGCAGAAGAAGCACCGGCUAACUACGUG
rnacentral:rRNA from 1 species